rnacentral:rRNA from 1 species
GACGAACGCUGGCGGCGUGCCUAAUACAUGCAAGUCGACCUUGGUGGCGCACGGUAGAGUAACCCGUGCGUAACCUGCCCAGCAGAAGGGGAUAACACUUGGCAAAAGGUGCUACUACCGUAUAUUGAUUGGUGGACCCGGUGUUCAUUAGCUAGGUGGUGGGGUAGAGGCUCACCAAGGCCACGAUGCAUAGCCGACCGUGGAGGGUGAUCGGCCACAUGGGGACUGAGACACGGCCCAAACGCCUAAGGGAGGAAGCAGUAGGGAAUGUUCGGCAAUGGGCGAAAGUCUGACCGAGCGACGCCGCGUGAGUGACGAAGGUUUUCGGAGCGUAAAACUCUGUUGUUAGAGAAGCGGUAUCUAAACAGAAAGCCACGGCUAACUACGUGCCAGUAGCCGCGGUAAUUC